rnacentral:siRNA from 1 species
GGAGAAGCAGGGCACGUGCAU